rnacentral:rRNA from 1 species
GGACGAACGCUGGCGGCGUGCUUAACACAUGCAAGUCUAGGGAUCUUCGGAUCACUGGCGUACGGGUGAGUAACGCGUAGGCAACCUGCCUGUAUCUCUGACAUAACAACAAGAAAUUGUUGCUAAUAUCAGAUGAGAGCUCCGGCUCAAAGCUUCGGCGGAUACAGAUGGGCCUGCGUCUAAUUAGCUAGUUGGUGAGGUAAUGGCUCACCAAGGCAACGAUUAGUAGCUGGUUUGAGAGGAUGAUCAGCCACACUGGAACUGAGACACGGUCCAGACUCCUACGGGAGGCAGCAGUGAGGAAUUUUGGACAAUGGGGGAAACCCUGAUCCAGCGACGCCGUGUGUGGGAUGACGGGGCUUUGCCCUGUAAACUACUGUCAGAUGGGAAGAAAAGUUCGCUCGGCGGACUGGGACUGUACCAUCAGAGGAAGGACCGGCUAACUACGUGCCAGCAGCCGCGGUAAUACGUAGGGUCCAAGCGUUGUCCGGAAUUACUGGGUAUACAGGGUGCGUAGGCGGACUUGUGCGUCGGAGGUUAAAAUGUCCGGGCUUAACCCGGAACCUGCCUUCGAUACGGCAAGUCUUGAGUAUGAGAGAGGAUGGUGGAAUUCCUUGGUGUAGCGGUGAAAUUGCGUAGAUAUCAGGAGGAAACAUCAGUGGCGAAGGCGGCCAUCUGGCUCAUUACUGACGCUCAGGCACGAAAGCGUGGGUAGCAAACCGGAUUAGAUACCCUGGUAGUCCACGCC